GCAAUGCCGGACUAGCUCAGUGGAUGCCCAGGGGGGGUAGGAACCUAUGCCCGCAGUCCGCACAACGAAACACCGAUUAAUCGGACGUCUCACACAAACUCCUCACUAACAGAUAAUACAUCUCUAACAAACAAAAGUAAACAAACCAAAAUAGACGACUUUUGCGGAAUGGUGGCAUAGAUGGUGUCGCCACGACGCUCCCGCCCAACCUGUGGUGCCUCCGGUGUGUCUAGGGGCACCACCCAUCUCCGGCGGACCGGAGUCUAAUCCAGGCGGCUUGACGGCCGGCCCAUCUCCCCAGAUACUUAAGGCUAACAUUGGCAGAGUAAUAUAGAAUUCCUAAUGGACUCAUUCCCGGCGAAACGUCACCCUAGCCCGGGAUGCGCUCGCGCCAAGACUGCGGCAGCGGAGAAGAAGCGGCGGUCCGCUUAAGGAAAAAGCCACAAACUGGCUGGAGAAGUACGCUAGAUUCCCUUUUCCUUUCUACCUAUUAUCCCUGCUGGAGCUCCAAGAGAAAUAAAGGGGAUGGAACUCGUGUUGCACAAAUCCCUGACCCAAGUUAAGAGACGCGGAGAAACAAGCACACGGAACCAAUUAUACAACGAGAAGUCACUCGGCGACCCGCAAAUGGCUUCAGUGGCGUGAGUGGCCAGAAAUCGUGACGACUGAUGGCGACGCAAGCCCGAGGAAAGAAGGCCCUUCGGAGCCACGGCCACGUCGUUUUUUUGAGAAGGGGCAGAGCCAAACAACUGUCCUAAAUAUGGGUACAAAAACCUGCCGGUUCCAGACGGCGCUUCACGGAACGGACUCACCGGACUCCCGUUUGGCUAGCGAGAUGGCUCCGUCAACGGCUGCUUAGAGGCUCGUUUGAAAAUCUCCCUCACUCCUCUCCAGAAUAUAUCCUCCCCAGAACGUCGGCGGCGGGUAAGAUUCUCCGUAUAAUUUCACAAAUUUUGAAUAAAAAAUCGCCGUGGCCAGCGAUUGGUUCACUGCCACGCUGAAAAUACACGUUUAUUAAAUAAAACGUUUUUUUAAAUCUUUGCACUUUCACCCACGUUCUUCAGGUAAUUCCUAGCCGCCCAGGAGAUUAGCUGCUUUAACUUCGACUUUCCGUUGCUACUGCCGGCUUCCAUGUUGCCUAUCCCUCCCUA